UCUCGUCGUCCUCCGUGAGCCCAGAAGCAGCAACAACACUAUCUUCAUCUCACCAGCAUUGUCAGUUUGGACACCUUCGCACAUGCGCACAGGCCAUUCAAUCUGACACCCUCGCCGGGGCCAAAAAACUUUCCAAUGUAUUCAUCAUCAUCACUUUUUUUGUCCUAUCGUCUCCCCUUUAGAUCACUUAUCUCUUCCCCUCCUCCUCUUCCUCCUCCUCCUUCUCCUGCUCUCUCUUCAUCCCACCUCUCCCCCCGCAUGCCAUCCCCUCACUUUGGUCCCCCUUCUCACCCCCACCUCCUCCCCCAACCCGCCCCAUUCAGCUCCAGCCAGCGUCUUCUUGGAUUUUUACCCCUUUAAACAGCGGCUGCUCGGUGUUCGUCAACACAACAGUGGACACGGGGAGGUAUGGUGCCGGGGUCAAGGUCGCACUGUAUCGUCACGCAGGAAAAUCGGAUGAUUUUGAUUGCUGCAUUUGGCAUUCUAUAGCAUAAAAUCACUUUUGCUCAUGUUUUAAUUAUUAUUUUAUAUUAUUAUAUUUGCAGAUUUUGUGGAAGGUUGCUGUGACGCAGCAGCUCGUGUCGCGUCUGUGCCAAAAGGCGCUCGAGUUGCAGAGGUUAUUUUUAACUUCAUUAAUACGCUUGAGGGCGAAAAUAGGUCGAUUGUCGAAACAACUUAACAGGCUAAGAUUUGGUCGCGCGCGGGUGUGUGUAUGUGCAUGCAAUGUGUGUGUGUGUGUGUGUGUGUGUGUGUGUGAGAGAACCCUGUUGCCCUCAGGACAAGCAGGAGCCAGCAGCUGUUUGACGCAGGCUACACCGGCAAGGAGUCCAGAAACGGGAGAACACCUGAUCCACGUGCAUCCAUCUGCUGCAUCCAGACGGGAGGACAGCAAGAUCAGAGAAGCGAGGAGCCGACAAGCGCGCCAAACAAAUGCGCGCCGCCAUAACGCCGGGAGGCCCGAGUGAAAAUUACCCCGAUGUCGAAAUGACCUUAACAUGAUGUAAUCAAUCACGCUGUCUGCUGGGACACAGGGAAUCACAAUGUUAAUCUUAAAUUUGGAGCGGGGAGAGGGGUUGCAGGGGGGUGGCUUGUCAUAUUUUUACUCAGAGCGCAGAUUUCAACUAAUUCUGAGCGGAGUGUGAGCCGUGCUGCUGUCAUGACGAGGGCCUCCAACCAGCAGAGAAUUAUUACAAGAAUGAUGUCUUUAUUUAUGUCAGCAAGUAAACCAAAGCAAUAAGAUGUUUUUUUCUUCUAAAAUGGCAAAAACCAACAAAGUAAAACAUUGAAAAAGUAACAUGUCAUUAUAAAAUUCAAACAACUUUUACAAAUAUUUAAUUUUAAUAUCAAUUAAGCAUUGAACAAAAAAACUCCACAAUUUACCCUCAAAGUGAUGGAAGAUGAGAGGGUUCGAACAGGCUGCUGAUGCAUUAGCACCGAGGAGAUACUCCGGCUUGGCAGGAUACAGCAGGCUCAAGUGGGCAGCAUGAAGUGCUGAGCUGGAUGCAUGUUAUCAUUAACAACUGUGGACAGACAGAACAGGUUGAGCCCACAAGUGUCUAUUUCACACCAGCCUGGCAUGGAAGUGAGCUGGGACUCCUGAGAGCUGCCCGCCAGCCCCCAGAAGCCUUUUGCCCAACAGAAGCUUCUGGGAUUUCUGGUUCUCAUCUUUGAAACAGAAGCCCACAAAGCUCUAAGCUGAGCUUUGGGUUCUCGCGUCUUGUAAAGAUGUCAUUAUGGAUUUCAGUCAGUCAAAAUGGCUUUGGUGACACGGUAAAAUGAUCUGUAACUUUGUUGGAUGUUAUGUGUAAAAAUAGGGAUUUAAUAAAGCAUAAAUGUGUGUUUUGAGCAAUAAAUAUUUAAAUAAAAAUAUUCUAAAUACAUAUUUGAUACUUGUUUAGGCUAUACUGAUAAUCUGUAGAGCAUUAUUUAAUAAUUCAGACACAGUUAUUAGAACAGCAGAAUCCCUGUUUAUGGUCUAAAAUGAAAAAGGGGCUGAGCACAAACAUUUAAAAAGCCAAACUCAUCAGCUUUGAACUCAAAGAGAUUUUUUUCUUCAUUUCAGCUCUAAAACAGUAUUAACUAGUGACAUCACUAUGACCAGCUAUGCAGCCCCCACAACACACACUAUUGGUGUGAAGGUUUAUAUGAAAGUGUUUUCUCCACACUUCCCUGAAGAAAAACACUGCUGUAAUUCGGUACACUGGGUCAACUUUAAUUGAUAAGCAAUGUUAAAAAUAAGCUGUUUCUCCAACAUUUUACUUCUAUUGUGAUAAACAAAAUUAUGCACUUUUGUUUAGGUCUAAAAACCAUGAAUCAUUCUAAAAUCAUCUGGCUAAUUAGAUCUGCUUUCCUGUUACUGAUAAAUUACUCCUACUUUUAUUGUCGGGGCUUCUAGAAGGAAAAACAAAACAGGAUUACCUUUUAAUUUUUACAAACACUCCCGUGAACUCAUCCAGUACUCAGUUUUGUGUGUGGUGCUCAGGAAAAUAUUUUCCUGUUAUUUUGUUUACCUCACAGUUUCUUUUCCUUUCAUGAAAAGGAAUUAAGUUAGUCCAAGUUGCACGCAGACUCCAUAAGCCUGACAUCACAUUAGGGAACAAACCACAAAACACCAAACUCCUUACAACCCAACAAAGACCAAUAAAGGUUUCAGCUACUGCAGCACCACCAGUGCAAACAGAACAUAAAGCCAGCAGCUCUCCAGCACACUUUCUAUCUCCAUCAAGAUUAUUCGCAGCCUCCGUUUAGAUUCCUGCAGCCUGGCAGCAAACAGCUGCAUUAUUUAUUCCUCUGCUUAGCUGCACAGUGUAUGUGUGUGUGUGNNNNNNNNNNNNNNNNNNNNNNNNNNNNNNNNNNNNNNNNNNNNNNNNNNNNNNNNNNNNNNNNNNNNNNNNNNNNNNNNNNNNNNNNNNNNNNNNNNNNCUUCGACAACACAUCAAAAACAACAGCACUUCCCGGGGUUUGCUGCCACUUCCUUUGCAGGACCCCACCCCUCCCCUAACUCUGGGACGCCUCCAUUGGGGGUUUCAUAGAGAAAAGUUAAUGAAGAAUUUCUUCGAGACACCUCAGGUAAUAGGAUGGAUGACCUGAAUAAUUAGUCUAACAGAAAAGUGGGGGAGGAAAGAGCGAUAAGGUUUAGAAACUCAGACUUCCGUGUUGUUUGUUGAAGGAACAGCAAGGAUUGAAAUGACAGAUAACUUCAUGCACAGCCUGGAUAAAUAUUGACUCCAGACAUUUUUCAGUUAUGACGACCACUUGAGAGCAUUCUUGAAAGAAAAAGAUGAUGGAGAAUGAAGAAGAAAAUAAAUAAUACCUAAA
rnacentral:lncRNA from 1 species